rnacentral:rRNA from 1 species
GUGGGGAAUAUUGGACAAUGGGCGAAAGCCUGAUCCAGCCAUGCCGCGUGUGUGAAGAAGGUCUUCGGAUUGUAAAGCACUUUAAGUUGGGAGGAAGGGCAGUAAGUUAAUACCUUGCUGUUUUGACGUUACCGACAGAAUAAGCACCGGCUAACUUCGUGCCAGCAGCCGCGGUAAUACGAAGGGUGCAAGCGUUAAUCGGAAUUACUGGGCGUAAAGCGCGCGUAGGUGGUUUUGUAAGUUGGAGGUGAAAUCCCCGGGCUCAACCUGGGAACUGCCUCCAAAACUGCAUGACUAGAGUACGGUAGAGGGUAGUUGAAUUUCCUGUGUAGCGGUGAAAUGCGUAGAUAUAGGAAGGAACACCAGUGGCGAAGGCGACUACCUGGACUGAUACUGACACUGAGGUGCGAAAGCAUGGGGAGCAAACAGGAUUAGAUACCCGGGUAGUCC